CCUACGGGUGGCAGCAGUCGAGAAUUUUUCUCAAUGGGGGAAACCCUGAAGGAGCGACGCCGCGUGGAGGAUGAAGGCUUUCGGGUUGUAAACUCCUGUCAUUUGGGAACAAAGUCCGCCUCUGGCGGAUGUGAUAGUACCAGAAGAGGAAGAGACGGCUAACUCUGUGCCAGCAGCCGCGGUAAUACAGAGGUCUCAAGCGUUGUUCGGAUUCAUUGGGCGUAAAGGGCGCGUAGGCUGCGGGGUAAGUCGGGUGUGAAAUCUCAGAGCUCAACUCUGAAAUUGCACUUGAUACUGCUCUGCUAGAGGACUGGAGAGGAGAUUGGAAUUCACGGUGUAGCAGUGAAAUGCGUAGAUAUCGUGAGGAAGACCGGUGGCGAAGGCGGAUCUCUGGACAGUUCCUGACGCUGAGGCGCGAAGGCCAGGGGAGCAAACGGGAU
rnacentral:rRNA from 1 species